AAGGCCUGGGGGCCCACAAACCUGGGUCUGUAUGCCCACUCUUCAUUAGCAGCUCCAGGACCAAGUGCGGUCAGUUUUCUGGAACUCGUUUCCAUAUCUCCACUGUGAUGUAAGGAUGUGCAUGGAUCCUAAAUGUGAGAAGCUGGCAAUCACCAGGUCCCUGGCAAGUGCUCAGAGUCUGAGCUACCAUCAAAAUCAAGGGCACAGGGGGAAGCUAACUGCUUCUCUGAAUACUCUAAGGGAGGCAGAUCUAGGCCAGGUGACCAGGGUUUACAAGUCCCAGGACAGCAGGUUGGGCUUGGUGCACGGAAGAACUGAUGAGCAGCUUCACUCAUGCAGCAGGACAGAUCAGGACAAAGCCAUGCUGGAGUUGGGGCCACACAUCUGCUGAAAACCCCCAACACUCUUUUUCCCAGCAGCAGCUUCCAAGCAAUUCCUGAGGCCCUCCCACCGGCUAACCAGAAAGGAACCCACCAUUGGUCUCCUUAGUAACGACUUCCAAGGCCCCUUGGUGAGGAUUUUAACAAGCUUCCAGCUCUCUCCCCAAACUGCCUAAUUUUUACAACAAUCAGACUCCUUUUUUCUUCUCUAAACGUUUAUUUUAGCACAUCUGAAAAGCGCACAGUGUGAUUUCCAGACCCAAGUUAGACAGCGAUUUCUUCAAAGUGCAACGCCCUCAAUUAAUGAACCCUCUGGGAAUGAAGUACCUUCUAACAAAAACAUUGUUCAAAAUAAAGCUGGAAAAAAACCUCACACAGCCCCUAGGACAGAGAUGUGAGUGUUGUUGCCCAGUCACAACCAUGACAAGGCGAUGUGGUUACACGGUAGGGUCAGAGGUAGGCAGUCUCCAGCCAUUCCCAGCAGGUGACCUUGGCCAGUUACUUGACCUUCAACUUGGUUUCCUUGUCUGCAAGAUGAGGAUGAUGACAGGCAACUCCCACGGCGGGAGUGCAGACUGCAGAACAGUCACUCAUGCAGUAACUACCUGCUGAGCACCCCUGUGCAUCAGGUGGCCUUGUUCCUGCGGCGGGGAUACAGCAAGGAACACAGCCCUGCCCCGUGGAGCUCAUAUUCUGUGGGGUAGCGGGUGGAGGUGAGUACUACAGAGAAGAAUCAAGCAGGUGAGGGGUAAAAGCACUGGGGGUGCCGAGUGGGAGUUACCUUUUUCUAGGUGGCAGGGAAGGCCUUUGAUCAAAGACCUAAAGGAAGAAGGGAGUGAGCCCCAUGGGUGUCUGGGAGAAGGAGUAUUCUAGGCACAGAGAACAGUCAGUGCCAAGGUCCAGAAGCAGGAAUAUGCUUAGUGUUCAUGGAAAAGCAAGGAGUCCAGGGUCGCUGGAGUGAGAAAGGGGAAAAGUAGUCAAGGGUAGGGACUUUG
rnacentral:lncRNA from 1 species